GGUCAAGCGAAUAAGCGCACACGGUGGAUGCCUUGGCGGUCAGAGGCGAUGAAGGACGUGGCAGCCUGCGAAAAGUAUCGGGGAGCUGGCAACAAGCUUUGAUCCGGUAAUGUCCGAAUGGGGAAACCCACCCGCUUGCGGGUAUCCUGCAGUGAAUACAUAGCUGCUGGAAGCGAACCUGGUGAACUGAAAUAUCUAAGUAACCAGAGGAAAAGAAAUCAACCGAGAUUCCGUAAGUAGCGACGAGCGAACGCGGACUAGCCCUUAAGCUGAUUUGGUUCUAGGAAAACGCUCUGGAAAGAGCGGCCAUAGAAGGUGAUAGCCCUGUAUCUGAAAGGGCCAUUUCAGUGAAGACGAGUAGGGCGGGGCACGUGAAACCCUGUCUGAACAUGGGGGGACCAUCCUCCAAGGCUAAAUACUACUGACCGACCGAUAGUGAACCAGUACCGUGAGGGAAAGGCGAAAAGAACCCCGGAGAGGGGAGUGAAAUAGAACCUGAAACCGUGUGCGUACAAGCAGUAGGAGCUCCGCAAGGAGUGACUGCGUACCUUUUGUAUAAUGGGUCAGCGACUUACUGUUCGUGGCAAGCUUAACCGUAUAGGGGAGGCGAAGGGAAACCGAGUCUGAUAAGGGCGCAUAGUCGCGGGCAGUAGACCCGAAACCGGGUGAUCUAGUCAUGCCCAGGGUGAAGGUGCGGUAACACGCACUGGAGGCCCGAACCCACUCCCGUUGCAAAGGUAGGGGAUGAGGUGUGAUUAGGAGUGAAAAGCUAAUCGAACCCGGAGAUAGCUGGUUCUCCUCGAAAGCUAUUUAGGUAGCGCCUCAUAUGUAUCCUCUCGGGGGUAGAGCACUGUUAUGGCUAGGGGGUCAUCGCGACUUACCAAACCAUUGCAAACUCCGAAUACCGAGACGGACUGUAUGGGAGACACACGGCGGGUGCUAACGUCCGUCGUGAAAAGGGAAACAACCCAGACCCACAGCUAAGGUCCCAAAUUUUGUGCUAAGUGGAAAACCAUGUGGAAAGGCACAGACAGCCAGGAGGUUGGCUUAGAAGCAGCCACCCUUUAAAGAAAGCGUAAUAGCUCACUGGUCGAGUCGGUCUGCGGGGAAGAUUUAACGGGGCUAAGCACAGAACCGAAGCUUGGGGUGCAUAACUUUGUUAUGCGCGGUAGAGGAGCGUUCCGUAAGCCGUUGAAGGUGGAUUGAGAAGUCUGCUGGAGGUAUCGGAAGUGCGAAUGCUGACAUGAGUAACGAUAAUGCGGGUGAAAAACCCGCACGCCGAAAGCCCAAGGUUUCCUUGCGCAACGUUAAUCGGCGCAGGGUGAGUCGGCCCCUAAGGCGAGGACGAAAGUCGUAGUCGAUGGGAAGCAGGUUAAUAUUCCUGCACCUCGCGUAAGUGCGAUGGAGGGACGGAGAAGGUUAGGUGUACCAGGCGUUGGUUGUCCUGGGGAAAGGCGGUAGGUUUGGAUCUUUGGCAAAUCCGGGAUCCUUUAAGACCGAGCACCGAGACGAGCCUUUAAGGCGAAGUCACUGAUACCACGCUUCCAGGAAAAGCUCCUAAGCUUCAGCUUACGCAGACCGUACCGUAAACCGACACAGGUGGGUAGGAUGAGAAUUCUCAGGCGCUUGAGAGAACUCGGGUGAAGGAACUAGGCAACAUGGCACCGUAACUUCGGGAGAAGGUGCACCCUUUUUGGUGGCUCGUGCGAGCUAUAGCUGAAGAGGGUCGCAGUAACCAGGCCGCUGCGACUGUUUAUCAAAAACACAGCACUCUGCAAACACGAAAGUGGACGUAUAGGGUGUGACGCCUGCCCGGUGCUGGAAGGUUAAUUGAUGGGGUCAGCCGCAAGGCGAAGCUCUUGAUCGAAGCCCCAGUAAACGGCGGCCGUAACUAUAACGGUCCUAAGGUAGCGAAAUUCCUUGUCGGGUAAGUUCCGACCUGCACGAAUGGCGUAACGACAGCGGCGCUGUCUCCACCCGAGACUCAGUGAAAUUGAAAUCGCUGUGAAGAUGCAGCGUUCCCGUGGCAAGACGGAAAGACCCCGUGAACCUUUACUAUAGCUUUACACUGAACGUUGAGUUCGUCUGUGUAGGAUAGGUGGGAGGCUAUGAAACUGUGGCGCUAGCUGCAGCGGAGCCAUCCUUGAAAUACCACCCUGUCGUGCUUGACGUUCUAACCUGGGCCCAUUAUCUGGGUCGGGGACCGUGUAUGGUGGGUAGUUUGACUGGGGCGGUCUCCUCCUAAAGAGUAACGGAGGAGCUCGAAGGUACGCUCAGCGCGGUCGGACAUCGCGCACUGUGUGCAAAGGCAUAAGCGUGCUUGACUGCAAGAUCGACGGAUCAAGCAGGUAGGAAACUAGGACUUAGUGAUCCGGUGGUUCUGUAUGGAAGGGCCAUCGCUCAACGGAUAAAAGGUACUCCGGGGAUAACAGGCUGAUACCGCCCAAGAGUUCAUAUCGACGGCGGUGUUUGGCACCUCGAUGUCGGCUCAUCACAUCCUGGGGCUGUAGUCGGUCCCAAGGGUAUGGCUGUUCGCCAUUUAAAGUGGUACGCGAGCUGGGUUCAGAACGUCGUGAGACAGUUCGGUCCCUAUCUGCCAUGGGCGUUGGAGAUUUGAGAGGGGCUGCUCCUAGUACGAGAGGACCGGAGUGGACGAACCUCUGGUGUUCCGGUUGUCACGCCAGUGGCAUUGCCGGGUAGCUAUGUUCGGAAGCGAUAACCGCUGAAAGCAUCUAAGCGGGAAGCGCGCCUCAAGAUGAGAUCUCCCGGGGCACAAGCCCCCUGAAGGAACCAUGUAGACUACGUGGUUGAUAGGUCAGGUGUGUAAGUACAGCAAUGUAUUGAGCUAACUGAUACUAAUGAUCCGUGCGGCUUGACCAU
rnacentral:rRNA from 1 species